AUGCAAAAUAAGACCCAUAUACCUUAUCUUAAUUUGUGUAAUUUAUACACUCACAGGAUUCUGACUUCAUUAUUGAAUUACCUUGGGGCAGAUUUGAUUUUUGAAGCACAAAACAUAAAUUUGUGUAAUUUAUACACUCACAGGAUUCUGACUUCAUUAUUGAAUUACCUUGGGGCAGAUUUGAUUUUGAAGCACAAAACACACAGUAGUGCUUAUAUUUUAGAUCAGCUGUUCUUGGCCAUGGUCAAACACAACAGGAAAGAAAUUUAGGCAGAAUCAGGAUUGUAUAAGUUGCAUAAUGAACCUUAUAAGGUGGCGUGUGAAGAAUUGUUUCCAGUCUGUGGCCCCCUGCAAAUGUGCCAAGCCCCUCCUCCCCUGAGGGCAUAUGCCCCCCAUUGAGAAUUGCUGUUUUGGAUAACUAAGGCUUUGGGGAAAAAAACCUUAUCUCUGUCAAAUAGCAAAAAAAAUGUGCCAAGCCCCUCCUCUACUGAGGGCAUAUGGCCCUCGUUGAGAAUUGCUGUUUUAGAUAACUAAGGCUUUGGGGAAAAAACCUUAUCUCUGUCAAAUAGCAAAAAACACAAACACUAAAGAAUGGUGUUAUAAGAUGACAAGAGAAGAUGGAAGAGCAAAACCACAAAACAAGUUCAGGCUAUUGAGGAAGACUUAGAAUACAUACCAGUUGGAAAGCUGGACAAGGACUUGCCAUCUCUCUCCUACAGGAAUAAGAGAUGUCUCUCCCUCCUUUUGUUUAAAGAAACAACUACAGUCAACCUUCGACUUACAAACUUAAUCCGUUCCGGAAGGACAUUCAUAAAUCGAAAAGUUCGUAAGUCAAAGUAAAAUUUCCCAUGGGAAUGCCUUGAAAACCAAUUAAUCUGUUCCGGCCGUUUUUUGUUCUUAGGUUGAGGGACGGUUUGUAAGUUGAAGCAUUAGUUCCCAUAGGAACUAAUGCAAAGCUGGUUAAUCUGUUCCUACCACUAGGGGCAGAUUUUUUCUUUUUUUCCCCCUUUUAACCUAACAUCAGAGCACAGAAACAUAACUCCCCACAGCAAGGCACAGAAUCCAGCAACCAUUCCUCCAGCACAAAAAUGCCUUCCUUUCUGAACAAACACCACAUCCACUCAAAGAAUAUUUUCUGAUUUUAAAAGACUCUGGAUCCACAUUUUAACCACACAGAGAGACAUUUUAAAACACUGCAAAACCCAUCAGAGCACAGAAACAUAACCCCCCAAUUAUCCCUAUCCCCCACCUAGCCCUACCCCCCACCAAGCUGCAAAAAACCCUGCACAGUACAUACAGUAAAGUAAAAACAUACAGUGUACUCACCCAGAACAGAUAGACUCUCUGCUUUAAAAAAGAAUAUCAAAAUCCAAAAAUCCAAAAAUUAAAAUUUUCUUAAAAGCCAACAAAUAAAAAUACAGUCCAUUAAAAAAGAAUAUCA
rnacentral:lncRNA from 1 species